CGCGCAGGUGGUUUCUUAAGUCUGAUGUGAAAGCCCACGGCUCAACCGUGGAGGGUCAUUGGAAACUGGGAGACUUGAGUGCAGAAGAGGAUAGUGGAAUUCCAAGUGUAGCGGUGAAAUGCGUAGAGAUUUGAGGAACACCAGUGGCGAAGGCGAUCUUCUGGCACAAAACUGACGCUCAUGUGCGAAAGCUAGGGCAGCGAACG
rnacentral:rRNA from 1 species